rfam:Gossypium hirsutum cultivar TM-1 chromosome 16, whole genome shotgun sequence
UGUUAAAAUUUCUGUUCAUUUGUACUGUUAAAAACUAGCAUGAUUGAUAGAAUAAUUAGAUAAUGACAUGUAGUAUACCCGUGUACCUCAUAUUGAUGUAGAAAUAUCAAUUUUUAACAAUUAAAAUUGAUGGAACUUUUAACA